GCACUGCUGACGAGUUCAAAAAAGCAGGACGAAACAGCUGUCCAGUGU
rnacentral:hammerhead_ribozyme from 1 species